rnacentral:rRNA from 1 species
CCUACGGGCGGCAGCAGUAGGGAAUCUUCCACAAUGGGCGAAAGCCUGAUGGAGCAACGCCGCGUGGGUGAAGAAGGUCUUCGGAUCGUAAAACUCUGUUGUUAGAGAAGAAAGUGCGUGAGAGUAACUGUUCACGUUUCGACGGUAUCUAACCAGAAAGCCACGGCUAACUACGUGCCAGCAGCCGCGGUAAUACGUAGGUGGCAAGCGUUAUCCGGAUUUAUUGGGCGUAAAGGGAACGCAGGCGGUCUUUUAAGUCUGAUGUGAAAGCCUUCGGCUUAACCGGAGUAGUGCAUUGGAAACUGGGAGACUUGAGUGCAGAAGAGGAGAGUGGAACUCCAUGUGUAGCGGUGAAAUGCGUAGAUAUAUGGAAGAACACCAGUGGCGAAAGCGGCUCUCUGGUCUGUAACUGACGCUGAGGUUCGAAAGCGUGGGUAGCAAACAGGAUUAGAUACCCUAGUAGUC